rnacentral:rRNA from 1 species
AACGAACGCUGGCGGCGUGCCUAACACAUGCAAGUCGAACGAGAAUUUUCCUUUCGGGGAAGUAGUAAAGUGGCGCAAGGGUGAGUAACACGUGAAUAAUCUGCCUACGAAUUCGGGAUAACGCGGGAAACCCUGUGCUAAUACCGGAUAAGACCACGUCUCUUAUGUGAUGUGGCCCAAAGGAGUCUCAAACUCCGUUUGUAGAUGAGUUCGCGGACCAUUAGCUUGUUGGAGGGAUAAUAGCCCCCCAAGGCGACGAUGGUUAGCCGGCCUGAGAGGGUGAUCGGCCACACUGGAACUGAGACACGGUCCAGACUCCUACGGGAGGCAGCAGUGGGGAAUAUUGCGCAAUGGGCGAAAGCCUGACGCAGCAACGCCGCGUGAGGGAUG